rnacentral:rRNA from 1 species
GACGAACGCUGGCGGCGUGCUUAACACAUGCAAGUCGAACGAAGAGCGAUGGAAGCUUGCUUCUAUCAAUCUUAGUGGCGAACGGGUGAGUAACGCGUAAUCAACCUGCCCUUCAGAGGGGGACAACAGUUGGAAACGACUGCUAAUACCGCAUACGAUCUAAUCUCGGCAUCGAGGAUAGAUGAAAGGUGGCCUCUACAUGUAAGCUAUCACUGAAGGAGGGGAUUGCAUCUGAUUAGCUAGUUGGAGGGGUAACGGCCCACCAAGGCGAUGAUCAGUAGCCGGUCUGAGAGGAUGAACGGCCACAUUGGGACUGAGACACGGCCCAGACUCCUACGGGAGGCAGCAGUGGGGAAUCUUCCGCAAUGGACGAAAGUCUGACGGAGCAACGCCGCGUGAGUGAUGACGGCCUUCGGGUUGUAAAGCUCUGUUAAUCGGGACGAAAGGCCUUCUUGCGAAUAGUGAGAAGGAUUGACGGUACCGGAAUAGAAAGCCACGGCUAACUACGUG